UACGUAGGGUGCGAGCGUUAAUCGGAAUUACUGGGCGUAAAGCGUGCGCAGGCGGUUCGUUAAGUCAGAUGUGAAAGCCCCGGGCUCAACCUGGGAACUGCAUCCGAUACUGGAUGGCUUGAAUUCGGGAGAGGGAUGCAGAAUUCCAGGUGUAGCGGUGAAAUGCGUAGAUAUCUGGAGGAAUACCGGUGGCGAAGGCGGCAUCCUGGACCGACAUUGACGCUGAGGAGCGAAAGCUAGGGGAGCAAACGGG
rnacentral:rRNA from 1 species